AAAUGAAAAAUUUACAACUAUGAAAUAUAAUUUUAUCGUUUCAGUGAUGGUAUCAGGAUCUACGUUAUCAUAUGAACGUAUCAGUGGGUUCGUAAAAGUCCGACAGUUCGACAUAUGGUACACGAAAGAUGAUAAAGGAUAUAUUGGUUAUUGGGUAUUUUAUGAUGUGCAUCUUGCUUUAUUAAAAUCGUAAAAAUUUUCUUUAAAAGGAUCCGAAUGAAAAUGUAAUUGCGCUCCUUUAAGGCGUAUGUGCACACUUUAAAUUCGGUAAAAGAGUAAAUAUAUGUAUAUAUUAUAAAUAUAUAAUAAAUAUAGAUGGCAAUUCUAUCGGGUAUAUCAUGAGAAAUAUUUUGGUUCGAUUGUAUUUCUCGCUGUCUAAAUAUAGAAAAACGCUAUAAAAUAAGAAGUUGGAAAGAAUUCAUUAAAAAUGCAAAAAGUCUCAACAAAGCUACUUUAAUGAGGAAUGAUCAAUAAUAGCGACAUAUUCUCAAUAACGUAGCACACGUUCAUAAAUCUAGGACGCUGUCUUUAUCGGUAUAAAUACACCCUUUGAACAUAAUUCGGUGAACUGUGUAACCGUUCGUGUUUUCUUACCUGGAAUUUCCAGAUGAGACUAACUUAUAAUUAACAUAUAUAAUCGUAACAGAUACAACCUAGAAGUAAUAUUACUCAGAAUGUUUAAUAUAUUGUGACAAAUUUUUCAAUAAAGAAACAUCCAAGAAUUUGAAACGUACCAAAGAUAUUAGAACGAAAUAUGUCGCGUUCAAAAUUCAAUCGAGGAAGUAUUUUGUAAUAUGUCUGAGGAAUCAAUUAACGAGGUGAAACUAAUUAACAGUUUAGAAAAUGAAGAGAUAUUCGAAUAAAAGAGAGUCUCUACAUAUGUAGUAGUGUUAAACUUUCCAAGCAUUCUGCCCAACUCGCAAAUUUCUGUGCUCGAUCGCUUUGAGAUUGAGUUAAGCAGUCUGUACGUCCAUCUGAUAAAACGGUAGCGAGAAUAAAUAAAACAAAUCAACGAUAUUUCCGCUGGCUCGGAUCGUAAUCACUAUUGAUAUACGAGCUUUGCACACGACGAACAACUGCGCAUCUAACGUCGCCAGACACGAAUCGCGCAACUGCGUUCUAUAUAUUCUUUUAGAAAUUUUCGCUGCUUCAUACGGCACGCAUUGCGCAACCAUUUCGUAACGUGUCAACAGUUUUCUGUCAGUCUAUGAAUGGAUAGGCGGAAAUUGUGGAUUUGUUCCGACAAGUUCGUAGGUUUCGAAGGAUGUAUCCGACACAUGGAUAAAACAAAAUUUAAAGAUCGAUCUUCGUCAUUUUCAUCAUUUUCGUAACCUGAAACUGAUAAGAUUUACUAGGUUACCAUGACACAAAGUUAACGAACGCUCGAAGCAUAACAUUCCAACCGAGUGUCGCCGAUAUUCCCCAGAGUAAUUUUCUGCAAGGACAAAAGUGGUGUGCUAUGCCGGGGAACAUCUUCGUCAUUUCCGGGACGGUUAUACAAAGCCACGUGUAUCGAUCAGGUCAGGUCUCUCCUAUCUUUUACCGGGACUAGUAUUGGGGGUAUGGAAAACACGCCUAGCUGUAUGUGUACGCAGUCGAGGAUCGAAAAUCGAUCCAACCUGUCCGCUCUUAAUGAAACACGACGUAUCAAACGUCUUACGCGGACUUGGAAUUGAGUGCGAUGGUAUUAUCGCUAUCAGCUUCGCGAUCCGAUAGAAAAACGCGAUAAAAUGUGACACGGACAUUGCAGAGGAAUUAUUAUGCGGUAGAAUUUUUAAUUGAAAAAAGCAAGGAAAGGAAAAGCCAAAUCGAAAGUGGUUAAUUUUUAUACUACUAUUAGCUAAUGUUAAAUAAAAUUGUUAUCUUUCCAGAAUGAUAUCGGGCGGUUUGAAUAAUACUACCAAUAAUCGUAAAAAAUAUAUAUAAAUUUAUCUUGUAACCAUCCUAGACGAAUUCCAUUGAAAGAGAGAAGCGAGAGUAACAGCAAAGACUAAAGGCGAACAAAAUGAAAGGAGAAAAAUAAGUGAUCUCGUUGGACCUACUAUAAGAUGGAGCUCUAUAGUGAGGUGGAGUGAGAGAAUCGAAAGACAGAAUCUGUUCGGAACGCGAAGCUGUACAACGCAUUUCCAGAUGUGACUAGAAGUAUCGUUUUCCUCCACAACACGAGCCACGAAGAUUGCUCUACAUUUCACCUUCCGUGGUAUCGUUUCUCUUUAUGUUACACGUAGGGGUUUAGGACAUUUCUUCUGCACCGAGCCGGCGUAGAUGCGGUGAACGUGAGUUUGUCUCGAUAAAUAUUUACUAAAAACAUUUGUUCGUUACGUAUCAGAAUGUCGUAUAAGGACUAAAAACGAAAAUUGUAAGACUGAUAGAUGGUUGAAAAGAAUUAGAUGCAACGAGAAAAACGUUUGAUAAGCGGAAAUGUGCUUUCAAAAAGAGAUAUAAUGGUAACUGGACCUUUUUGUCUCGGCGGAAGUUAUAUUACAGGGGAAGAUCUUUGCUGCAUCGAAUCUCGUGACGUUUUUAAGGAGAUUGUUUGCAAAAAGAUAAAAAGGUAUCGGUGAUACAUCGUUAAAAUUUUUGUAAAGUGUGUUUGUAGUAGAACUAUUUUAUGAAUUCUUCGUAAUUACAUACCUUGAAAUAAUUACAACUGUAUUAAAAAUUGAAAUGUUGUGUUCUUUCUCAUGAGGAAUUCAUUAUUUACGGACAAUAGCGUGAUAGUAAGUUGUCAUUAAGGAAAUACGAGGUAGUAAAUUUCAUUAGGUACAGGUCGAUCGUCAGAUCCUAUGACACCACUCCACUCUAAAAAGCGAAAACAAGGUCAGCCAAGAUCUCAUAUUUUUAGUCCGGAAGUAUGACUUUUAUCCGUGUUAGCGCAGCAAACUACAUAUUGCUUGAAAGCGACUUGCACCUUUUUAAAAUAACCGCUUAUAUAGAGUUAAAAAAAAUCUUAUACAAGGCCUAACCAAAUAACGCGUAAAAGUCAGCACGACGUAAUUCCUUGUGAAAAAAUAAGGAAAAAAUAUAGAAUAAAGUUUUUUCAUUCUUGGGUUAGUUUUCGAGAAUACCCAGUUUGAAAAUUUAUCAACUAUACUUGCACGUGGCUAAUGGCGGACUGAGCAGAUUAAAUAAUAGGCAAGAAGUUAAUUGUACGUGUGAAAAUUAAGUGGAAAAUGUAAAAUAACAUUUUUCUGUUUAAGACUCCAAGAAAAUAGAGUUUGAACACGUUUAAUUAAGAAUUGGCUUAGCACACGCGUAUGAUAAAUUUUCAAAUCUAUUUUUCUCGGAAACAAAAUAUUUUUUGUGAAAAUAUUUUAUUCUACAUCUUCGACUUGCUUUCGCACGUAGAAUCACCUCUUGUCGAUUAUUUAGUUCUGUCCAGUCCAGAAUUAAUUACAUUCAAGUAUAUUUGAUAAAUUUUUAAACUUGAUUUUUUCAGAAACUAUGUCAAAAAUGAAAAAAUUUGGUUCUAUAUCUUUUCCUUAUUUCUACACAAGGAAUCACGUCAUACCCGCUUUUACGUGUUAUUCGAUUAGACUGUAUAUUUACUUUUCACUCGCAAUGUCGUCUUAUCGGUAUACACAGUUUUAUAUCCUUGCUUUUUUCUAAAUAACACUUUUACCUAUUUUAUCGUAUGUUUGAUAGUAAAAUAUAAAUUAUACGAAAAAAUAAAAUAUAUCCGAUCUCGUCGAAUACAAGGUAGAAAUAAAAUAAAAUUUAUCGCGAUGAACAGAAACGAGUAUUUGACAUGCGGUUCAACGAAUGUUCCAUCAUCGACCACCACAAAACACUCGGAUCACUUUACGACGAGAACCUAAAUAGAGAUUUUAUCGGAAUUUUUGUUAAAAGGUGUACAGGGAUAGCCGCGUUUACUCCACAAAGUCGAACUCUUUCACUAUUCUACUUUGUUUAUUAACCCCUAUACGGAAGGACCAACAACUUACACCGGCAUUUGUGUCUGUUUUUCCCCGGGAAUCCGAGUUUCGCCCCUUCCCCUUGAACUCGGUUUGUUCCCUUGUCUCGUUUGUCCUCAAUUCCGCCCUUCCACCGAAGACAAAAUCGCGAGAGCGGGAACGGAAUUGCGCGCAAAAUUGCUUCUGAUUGCAUUAAUUCUCGGCUGUGAUCGCAGCAAUCGACCAUUUGCUUAUUGAAUUAGACGCGAUCAUUAUCGAUUCUUUUCUCCGCAACUGUAAACGCGCGUUUCUCAAUAGUCCAUAGGGCUCAAUGGAAAAAAGGAAUGAAGAUCUUCGUUCGGAGCGAAGAAAGAAGAGGGUUUCGUUUUCAAGUGUCGAUUUGGAGGAAAUGCGGAUUCGAGAAACGUGUUUGGAGAUAUUUUCUUACAAAGGAUGUUUUAAAAGCUUUUUAGUGGAAAGAAUGUUUUAUUCAUAUUUUAUGCUUCUAUUUAUAGAUGGUUACUAUGAUCGAUUUUUGGUGACAUUUUUCAUCAAAUAUACAGUAUAGCAUGUUGUUCGGGAAAUUUCUUACGAUUAAAUUUUUAUUUUAGAGUGAUAAAUGAAUAUAAAGUUGCAUGAUUUUUAAUUUAAAAAAUGUAAUAAAAAUCCGGAUUAAAAAUUCUGGACAAUAAUCUGAAUUAAAAGAUACGACAGAAACGGUUGUUUCUACGUCUCGAAAAAAUAUAUGUCGAAUAAAAGUAAGUUAGAAAAGCAACGUAAAAAGUAUUACAAGGUUAUAGGAAAUUUAUUACUCAAAUAUUGCAUUUUAUGUCAAAAACGAUUCUUUUUUAAAAGGUAUUAUGAUUUCGAGAUAGGAGUCUGUAAAAUUCGUAUUUUCGUUCUUUAAAAAAAUAUAAUACCUUGCUCGAUGA